rnacentral:rRNA from 1 species
UGCCAGCAGCCGCGGUAAUACGGAGGGCGCAAGCGUUGUUCGGAAUCAUUGGGCGUAAAGCGGGUGUAGGCGGCUUGGCAAGUUGGUUGUGAAAUCCCUGGGCCCAACCCAGGAACUGCAAUCAAAACUGCCUCGCUAGAGUCCCGGAGAGGGUGGCGGAAUUCCCGGUGUAGAGGUGAAAUUCGUAGAUAUCGGGAGGAACACCAGUGGCGAAGGCGGCCACCUGGACGGUGACUGACGCUGAUGCACGAAAGCGUGGGUAGCAAACAGGAUUAGAUAC